rnacentral:rRNA from 1 species
CCUACGGGUGGCAGCAGUGGGGAAUAUUGCACAAUGGGGGAAACCCUGAUGCAGCGACGCCGCGUGAGUGAAGAAGUAAUUCGUUACGUAAAGCUCUAUCAGCAGGGAAGCAAUACUGACCUUACGGUCAGCAGACGGUACCUGAGUAAGAAGCCCCGGCUAACUACGUGCCAGCAGCCGCGGUAAUACGUAGGGGGCAAGCGUUAUCCGGAUUUACUGGGUGGAAAGGGAGCGUAGACGGUGCGCCAAGUCGGGAGUGAAAUGCCGAGGCUUAACUGCGGAACUGCUUUGGAAACUGGCGAACUAGAGUGCGCGAGGGGUAAGCGGAAUGCCUAGUGUAGCGGUGAAAUGCGUAGAUAUUAGGAGGAACGCCGGUGGCGAAGGCGGCUUACUGGCCCGUAACUGACGUUGAGGCUCGAAAGCGUGGGGAGCGAACAGGAUUAGAUACCCGUGUAGUC